rnacentral:rRNA from 1 species
GUCUACGAAUACACCACCCUGAACACGCCCAAGCUCAUCUGAUCUCCGAAGCUAAGCAGGUUCAGGCAUGGUUAGUACUUGGAUGGGAGACA